ACGUUUCUGAUGCCAAUAACCUAUGGAGGUUAGCUGGGCCUCCUCUCCUCUCUAAUUUAGAAGCUCAUUAGGAGACGUUUAUUUACUUCAAAAGUGCAUGACUAUCAAGGUUAUCAAGUGCUAAUCCCUGCCAUCUCAUCACAAAGACAAAAUUUUUCUACACCCACAAUGUUUAUGAGUGCCUUUUGCUCGGUUCCUGUGGCAACUUCUCCAUAUUCUGGCGCAAGAUCCAGGGUGGUACCUACAGGAAGAAAAAGGAUAAAGUUAUUUCUAAAUGAUGCUCUCCCUGCGCCCACUUGAGGCAUCUGUGUGCUUCCUUGUGGUCCAAGUCUGCCUCUUUUACCCAGCCGAAAAUAAAGCACACGAGCAUCUUCCCUUUUCCAGUGAAUGCCGAGGCUCGGCCACAGAGGGUGAGAUGGAAUCCUGGUGUUUGGGAACACAGUGGAGUCACCCGGGCUACCAGGGGUGCCUGUUCUGCAGAGGUCAGCUGUCACAAGCCCAUCUGAAAUUGGCAUCAGGCUAAAACAGGGUGUGUGUCCCCCUGGGCCAUAUCAGAGGAGAGUGCUCAGAGGAGGAGACUCAGGCGUCUUAGAAAACUCCGGGUCAAGCGACACAGGGACCUGCCUGCAAAGAGCCUUUCAGAUGGCGACUCCUAAAGACAGUUGUUUUGCCUACUGACCCAACCUGAUAUUUUGGGGUUGGGGUGUCCAAGUUUUUCCUCCCCUGGACAAAAGGAUAAAGGACUUCAUGCUGGUCUACAUUUAAUCUGGAUUCUUUACCAUCUGAGCCUCCAAGGAAGCCCCAGUGAUUGUUUGUAAUUCCUAAACACCCAGGAUGGCUUCCCAAAAUGGAACGUGAAGCUAGGUGAUUCUUCUAAAUUGGCAUCAGGUAAUUAUUUGCUUAAGAAGACAAAGAACAUAAAGUUAGAUUCCGAAUUGAAUCCCUAAGUUUAGAGUAAGUUUUCUAUAGGAUGCAUUCUACUGACAAAUUUGCAGCUACUUUGAAACACACAGAAUCUGCUUUGGAAAAUGGGUUUUUGCCUGGAGUCAAUGUAUUCCUGUAGGAUCACAUGGCCUGUCUCUGGUGGCUGGCUGCCUAAGAAGUAAAGAGGAGAAAGGACCAAAGAAAAUUACGGAUAAACUAGAAGGAUUAUACACUAUGGUGCUUCCCUCCUCCAUGCCCCUUGUUGCUUUAUUUCUCAAUCCUCACUUGAGAAGCUGGUAGUAACUUAAAUAUAUGUUGUUUGUACAGAUAACUCAUAAUUUGUCACAGUAUUGUCAGCACGGAGGACAUUUUAUUGAGAGAAAUCUCCUUGCAAAAUAUCUCUCCUCCCACACAUCAAAAUACCCCUGUUUUUGACACAUGUAAAUGUGGUUUUAAUAAGGGAAUAAAAUACAGACUCAGGUACUCCCUCUCCUUUGUUUCUUCAGCCUUUCUCUCUCUCUCUCUUCACUUUUUAUUUUUGAAUUUACUAGCUUGUUGAGGAAAAGAAGGGGUGGGUAGGUGCUAUGUGGAGACAGUCAUGAUGAAAAUCUCUAGCCCCUGAGGGACACAGGUCAAAUUUCUCUGUGCGCUGGCAAAGAAACCCAUAGUCACUGCCAAAACCACAGAGUAAAGUCUUCACAAAAUCCCCUCAGACGGCGAUGUUUUCAGAGUUAAGCCUUUUCAUUUAUAUUUGGACAACCACCUGUUGACUUCUACUGGCGCUUGUCAAGGGCGGAUGGAUAGCGGGAACCUGCAGCAGAAUUAGCCCAUUCAGAGGGCUUGAUGCUCCUCUUUGAAGAAGUUGCCAUUGUUUUCAGUGGAGCCUAGUCAAGGCUCAUAAGAUCAAAACAUGAAAAACAAAAAAGGAAAGAGUUUACUUGGGGCAGGGUCUCGCUCUCCUCUUGUGAUUAUCACAGCUUCCACAGGCCAUCCUUUUAAAUCCAGGAAUCGAUCAGGGCAGUCUUUACGAUGCCUUUCCCAGUCCUGAAAUGCGGUGGGUGAGAGCCAGGGAAAGACAAGGGAGAAAGUCCAGGACAGCAGGGCCUGCUCCAUGGCUGCUGCUCUGCCUGAGCAUUUUCCAGGGCCAAUUCUGCUCC
ensembl:lncRNA